AAAAUAAGGAGCUUUUUAAUUGAGUCUGUAUGACUUUUGGAGGAAUAGUUCACAAGAUUAUUAAGAUGCAUUUUGAAAAUAGUUUAGAUUAAUUGAUAUUUCAUGACAUCUUUAAGGAUCAUCUUUUUAUUGUAUAGAAUGAGUAUACUAUUAUCCAAUAUGCCUAGAUGAUGUGUAAAUGGUUGUCAACGUAAUACUAUGUGGUUGCUAAGGUAUUGUGAGUGACAACACAGUAUAUAUCCCCUGGCUCAUUUAUGUCCUUACAACAAAUGUGAAAGACUUACACAACAAAGUUCAAUAUUUAGGAAGCAAUAGUACAAGUGAUGGUUGUCUUGACAAGCACUAUUAAAGCACUAUUAGUUCACAAGAUUAUUAAGAUGCAUUUUGAAAAUAGAUUAGAUUAAUUGAUAUUUCAUGACAUCUUUAAGGAUCAUCUUUUUAUUAUAUAGAAUGAGUAUACUAUUAUCCAAUAUGCCUAGAUGAUGUGUAAAUGGUUGUCAAUGUAAUACUAUGUGGUUGCUAAGGUAUUGUGAGUGACCAUGGUACUAUGUGUAUGCUAGAGUGUUUUGGGUGGUUGCUAAGGUGUUGCCAGGAUGUUCAGGAUGGUCAUUAAGUGAUUGCUUACCAGCCCAAAUCAAAAUGAACCCAACAUUGCAUCCGAAAUCGAAUACUUCCCACUGUAUAGUAUGCGAAAAACAGUAUGCCAGUAUUCAAAAACAUUAGGAUAAAAGUACCCAGAUGACCUACUACUUCCGCAGGGAUUCUGAAGUGCACAUUUAACUUUUCUAUCCCAUGAGGCCAUGGGAGAGCAUUUAUGGAAGGCAGUGAAGCAUUGCAACUGACACUGUGAAACUCGCCCCCCUCCCUCCGCCGCGCUGCCUGUUGGUCUGUUGUGGUGAAGGGAUCGUUUCUGCUGCGACACAUGCUGGAAAAGGUAUCCUCCUAAUGACACUGUUUCACACCAAUGCCCUAUCUGCUCAACCAGUAUUAGUUAGGCUUUGGGGUUCAAGUGACUAAGGGGGUUUAGGGAUGGAUUUAAAAGGAGAAGAGGAGAGAAUGAAGAAAGAGAGAGAGUCUCUCUGUUGUUCUUGAAAAGCUGUAUUUAU
ensembl:lncRNA